rnacentral:rRNA from 1 species
UACCUAUACGUUGCCUCGGCGGAUCAGCCCGCGCCCCGUAAAACGGGACGGCCCGCCCGAGGACCCUAAACUCUGUUUUUAGUGGAACUUCUGAGUAAAACAAACAAAUAAAUCAAAACUUUCAACAACGGAUCUCUUGGUUCUGGCAUCGAUGAAGAACGCAGCAAAAUGCGAUAAGUAAUGUGAAUUGCAGAAUUCAGUGAAUCAUCGAAUCUUUGAACGCACAUUGCGCCCGCCAGUAUUCUGGCGGGCAUGCCUGUUCGAGCGUCAUUUCAACCCUCAAGCUCAGCUUGGUGUUGGGACUCGCGGUAACCCGCGUUCCCCAAAUCGAUUGGCGGUCACGUCGAGCUUCCAUAGCGUAGUAAUCAUACACCUCGUUACUGGUAAUCGUCGCGGCCACGCCGUAAAACCCCAACUUCUGAAUGUUGACCUCGGAUCAGGUAGGAAUACCCGCUGAACUUAAGCAUAU